rnacentral:rRNA from 1 species
GAGUUUGAUCCUGGCUCAGAUUGAACGCUGGCGGCAGGCCUAACACAUGCAAGUCGAGCGGCAGCGCGGGGCAACCUGGCGGCGAGCGGCGGACGGGUGAGUAACACGUAGGAAUCUACCCAGUAGCGGGGGAUAGCCCGGGGAAACUCGGAUUAAUACCGCAUACGCCCUAAGGGGGAAAGCAGGGGAUCUUCGGACCUUGCACUAUUGGCAGAGCCUGCGUUGGAUUAGCUAGUUGGUAGGGUAAAGGCCUACCAAGGCAACGAUCCAUAACUGGUCUGAGAGGAUGAUCAGUCACACCGGAACUGAGACACGGUCCGGACUCCUACGGGAGGCAGCAGUGGGGAAUAUUGGACAAUGGGGGCAACCCUGAUCCAGCCAUGCCGCGUGUGUGAGAAGGCC